GAUAAAAUAAUUUUUUUAAAGUUGUUAGUCAGAAAAUAGGAGGAAGCCACUUGCUCUGGCACUUUUCUGCCUCUGCACUGAAACAUGGGACAGCAGCUGCUUCAGAGCUGCCCCCACCGUGGGCAAAGGGAUUCAUCUGCACUUAAAACAUUCAGUGCACAGAAAAUGGAAUAGCAGCAUCUCCUUUCAUUUCCAUGCCCACCGACACACACUCAAACAGAGCGCUAUGCUUUUCCACAGUAUCUCACAGUACAUUUCUUUAUCUCUACUUUUCUCCCUCCUUCCUUCAUUAAGUCCUUCUUUAAGACUUAUUUUUCCUUGUGUUUAUUUUGGAACAUAUGAGGUGACCAAAUCUUUCUCCCUUUGUCUCUCAUCAGAGCCUUCAUUGCUUUACAUCCAUUGGGAAGAACUGAUCCAGUUAUCUCCCAAAUUGCAUUUCAGGAGCUGGCAAGCCUGACUUCACAGAUAAACUGGAGAGCACCCCAACUGAUGUAAAUGCAGGACACAGCUUUUUCUGCUUCAUUCGGCAGUAGAUGAUGAUUACUCAAUUUUGCUACAACAUUGAUUGCUACCAGAGGGAUCAGUGUGCUUUGCCAUCAUUUCCAAUAUUCAGUUGUUAUGUAGCGAUUGUUGUUGUCUAUUAUUUUAUGUUAGGGCAGCAAUUAGUACUCUCAGAGAUUGAUGCCUCUCAUCAGCACGCAAAAGACAGUUUCUCUUCCAUGUUUCUCACAGACUAAACAUAAGACAAGAGACAACAGAUAAAUCCAUCAAGCAGCCCAGAUACUGGAGAAAUGAUUAUUGAUGCAAUGAGUCACAGCAGUGCCUUAUUAUAAUUUCUGCAGGCUCUUUCUUUCUGGCUGCAGAAGACAGAAGCCCUUCGUUUGAUUUUCUUUCAUUUGGAGUAUAACAUGCUCCCUCUCCAUCAGAUCUACACUCUCAUUAUAUCUCAACAUCUGAUUCAAGAUUGGUGAAUGUAGUAAUGCAUCCCUCCCUGGAAAGGAGAUACAUUUUUAUAAAACAGCAAAAUCAGUAUUUUUCAGGACAACACUGACUACCCAAUUUCUAUUUAGUGGAAGUAUUUGGGUAGAUAUAAAGCCUACAUAACCCUGGACAGUGAUGUACUCUACUUGGUUGAAGGCAUACUCCUUUAGUAUUUUCAGAUGUCUCCAUUUUACUGUCAUCAUGAACUCUGCAGGCUUGGAUAACUCUGCUAGCACCCUCACAGUGCUGCAGAGGUCCUUAGGGAUAGGCUGCCGAAGAACCUUGAUGUAAUGGUAUGUACAUUUGCUUGUGUAAUGGUGUGUACAGUCCUGUGAGCUGUGAAAAAUAUGCGGUCAUGCUUUUCCAUUCUGAUAAAGAAAUUUGGUUUCAAGAUUGCAAAAAAGUUGUCACUUUUUUUGGCAUAUUUGCCAUUUUCAGUCAACGGAAAGACAUGACCUGCAAAUUUUCAAAUGGAAUGUGUAAAGUUGCAAUCAGACAGACAUUCGACUCAAAAAUCAGAUCAUGUCUCUCUACUGGACUUCUGUAAGACCUGUCUUAUCAGAGAGAAAUAUUCCUUGCUUCACUGUCACUCCUUAUUCUUGUCAUCACUCUUUGGCAGUAUGCACAUUUGUGAACACCUGUUUCAAGGAUGAGGUACUGGAAGAGUAAAAUCCCACCAAAGAUCUCUGACAAACAUCUUAAGAUCUGACUAAGAAUCACAGCCGCUGCCAUUGAACCAGACUGAUGCAUUAGUCUUACAAAAACAAGGUCACAUAUCCCAAUAAUUUUAUGGUUUUGUUGCUCUUCUUUUUCAUGUUUUAAUUUAAAAAAAAAUGUUUUGUUAAUAUAAAUUAACUAUAGUAUACAUUUUAUGAGGGCUGAUCCAAAAGCAGUCCCUUCUAUUUCAUUACGUUGGCCCAUGAUGUCAGAGGUGGAUGUUGGUGGUACCAUCCUUCCAAUAUUCCAUAGCAUUUUGUUGCUGUGUUACAGAUGGCAGCAGAGGGACAGUGACAAAAUGGCAUCUGACAUGGAAGUGUGGAUGAAGAAAAGGAGUGUCAUUGAAUUCAUCCAUGAAGAAAACGCUGCAUCCACUGACAUUCCUUGACUCUUGCUGAAUGUUUCUGGAGACCAAACAGUGGAUGUGAGCAUAGUGAGGCAGUGGGUAGUAGCAGUGGCAAUAGUGACAGUGGAUUACCUCUGCUGGUGUAGCUUUUCCAAGCACAGCACGCAGCUCUCGUUCUUCGCUUAUGAAAAUGUAUAGCUAAUGAUGGUGACUAUGUUGAAAAACAACAUUUUGUAGCUCUAUCAAACAACUGUUGUUCUAUCAAACAGUGUUACUAUGCUCACUGUAUCCGUUAUAGUGCCCAUGGAAAUAAAUAAAAGGCAUUGCUUUCAGAGCAACCUAUAAAUAUGUAGCCCAAGACAAUUUCUCUUCACUCCAUGUGGCCAAGGCAAGACAAAAGGUUGGACAUCCGUGGUUCAACUGAUAAAUUGGCCACUUCACUGCCGAGUUCAUAGAAUCAUAUUACUUUGCUUUGCCAGGGACUUGGUAAAAUUGCUCAUCCGGACACAGUAGAGGUUUAGAGAGAGCAUUCAAUCAGGAGCUGUGCUUGCUGCUUGCUUUUGGGUUGUUGUUCCUAUCACACCUCCUGCUUUGGUACACAAGGCAGAAAUGAGUGAAAACUGGGAGAGCAGUCUAGAGGACGUGAAGCUCAUCAUUAUAUAGGCACACUUAUUGGGGAGGGGAAUAUUUAUUUGUUUUCACUUUUUCAAAAGGAAAAGGUAAAAUUUAAGAAUACUUUAUUUCAAAGGCAGGCCUAUGCUAAAAAGCCAGGUUGGGAUACUCUGGAGCAGCAAGUCACUGCAGUGAAUACUUCUCACUGUAAGGACAGAUCUUUAGAGACAGUCUGCAGGAACUCCAUCACUGAGCCCACUAUGGAGCACUCAGAUGAACACCUGCUUGGAGGGGUUGAGCAUCACCUGCCUGGUUUUGGAGCUGGGAGUUGGACCAGAUCACCUCUCCCUGUAAUUCUGUGGUAGCAUGACUCCAGAGAGCACACCUCUGCUUGCAAUUAGGAUGAUUCAAUUAGUAUCACUCCCCUAAAUUCCCAUGGCCACUUCUGCCAUCCUCAAUUCAUCCUUAGCCUUCAAGUGCCUGCUGUAAUUAACUGGCUGUUAUUGAGGUGUUUUACUUCAGAAAGAGUGGGAAAAGCUGAGAUGGGAAAAGUUAUUUGAGAAGAAAAUAGAACAGGAAGAGUCAAAUGCCCGGUACAGGCAGACUCAGCCCAGAAGUCAGGUAGGGAAAGUGGCUUAAAUCCCUUCCUGCUCUGGGUUUAUGAAGGCUUCCAGGUCAGUGAUUUAUGCUGGCCUUGCUGGCUUGAUCUGUGCCACAUCUCAGGGCAUGCUCAUGCCUGAUCUCUGUUCCACCAGGACUCACUGCUCAUUCCCAUGUGAGGAGAGCCUGUUGGCAGUGCAUCUAUCCCUGUGGCCAGGUGACAAAAGAGGGCCUAACUUCUAUUUAAACAAAAAUGAUACAGCUUGCUUGCAUUAAUCUCCAGUUACCAGACCAGCCUGCUGUGUCCCCCAUCUCUGUCCUUGACAUCAGCUCUCCCCAUCUCUGCUGUUGCCUCUGAGACCCUGUACAUGCCACAACACAGCCAAGCCACCAGCCCAGCCCAGCCUAGCUGACCAUGACAAAGCUUUGAGAAGCAACCACGUUGCAAAUCAUAUUUUUCUUCCCCUCUCCCUCUCUCCUUUUUUUUAAUGGGAAGGUUGGAGAUGAUGGUGUGUGGCAUAGGGAUGGUCCUGCUAGGAAGCAAAGUGCCUAUGUGGAUGGAUGCUCAGAAGGAAAGGGUAUUUCACCCCCAUGGACACAUUUACAAAUGUGAAGUGAGAGUUGGGACAGAAGGAAAACAGAUGACUUUGAGUGGCUAGGUUCAUUUUGCUGUUCAAAACUGUGAAGUUGUCCCUCACUGUGCCAGGUUCCUUGCAGCUCUGUGCCUAAUUACACUGGAUCAUGCUCAGAAGGCUGCCUUGCUCCUGCCUAUUAACAUCUGGGUUUCGUGGCUGAAGUCUUCUUUCCUUCCCUACCCGGUGCUCCUGCACUGUGUCUAUCUUCUCCUUGCCUCGGUUUUAUGUUUUGCCUGGCCUUCCCCAGGAAACAAGUCAUUUGUUUUCUGUGAAAGCGCUGCCCGAGGAAAGAGAUCUGGACUUCUACACCUUUUGUUAUGUUUUAGCCAAGCCAUUCAUCGUGACUGAACAAAAGUUGGCCUUUUUUGAGAAGAAUGAUUUUUCAUGUGUGACAACCUUUUUAAUACAUUGCAAUUGUGCAAUGUAUUAAACCUCAAUAUAAUUUUAGAGCCAUUUAGGGUGGCUUUGCUGGCUGUUUUUCAGGAAAAAAAAAUCUGGGAGGAAGAGUUAUAUUUCCUCAUCAGAUUGCCACGAGCCCAAAGUCUGUUUCCCAAUGGGUACUAUUCCACCUUCUCAGAAUAAAUCACUUAAGUGAAAUGAUCUCUGUACCUUCAAUAUUAUUCAGAUUUUUCUAGUCGGAGUUAUUGACAUUAAAAUGUGAAUCACUUAGAUGAGAUUACUCAGAUUAAGUUACAAGUUAGUAAAACUUUGCAAUAGUGACUUUCUUUGUUCUGGAUUCACAGAGCAUAAAGCAGUCCCACGCCAUGCCCUGGGCACUUUGAAGCCUGGAGCUAUUGCUGACCCUUUUUAGUGCUGAGAAUCUGCUUCUCCAGCCUACAGCCUCGAUGGUAGAAGACUGCAGGUCCCUGUUUGUGCACGGGUUGGGCAGUGGCAGGAGCUUCAUCCUCUGGGAUACACAGUUGACUUACUUCUCAUCACUGAACUCCAAAGAAUUCCAUCACUCUCAUCCUGCUGCAUCCUGACCACCUAAAAAAUGGCUUUCCAUGGGAAGGAGGUUCGUGUAAGGACUUCUGUAACACGGGAACCUGGUUGGCCCUCUCACUGGACCCUCACACCCGCAUUCUUGACUACCAUGGAGCUCUGAAGACUUCAAAGUGUGCCCAGCACUUUUCCUGAACUCCCUGCCAUGUCUAAUUUUUGACCCUUCCUCUGAGAAAUGAGUCCACUAGCGAAGAGAAGAUAAUUCUGCUCAUUUGGUCUCUUGAGAUUCCCACUAAGGGGAAGAAUAACAAUCCAGCAACAGCUUCACUGAUCUGCAUAGAAAAUUCAGGCUGCUUUUUUUUGCUGACCCUACUGGCUUGCCAUAUACAGCUGUAAAACUUUAUGCUAGUAAUCCAAAAAGGCAGCUGGAAUUUUUAGUCACAGGCUGUCAAAUGUCAUGUUCAUACCACAUUGGAUUAAAUGAUAAUAGGAGAAUAAUUCUUUUAGUAAAAUAUUUAAGACAUAUUGAAGUAUAAGCUUUGUGAAACAAAUUCAUAGGAAUUUUACAGCUUCAGAGCAAAAGUAGAUAAUGAAUUUUAGAGCAGAGUUUUUUUUUUGUUUUGUUUUGUUUUAAAAAAAGGUCAAUAUUGAUAGUUCAGCAGAUGUGUCCUAGUGGUGUUGCACAUGGCUCAGCUCCUAGUGAAAGACCACCAGGUCAUUCAUUUGGACAAUGAGCACACUAAACAUCUGCUAUGUCAUUAUGUCCCCUGCUGUUGUGCAUCACUCACCUUUCUCUCUUCUGUAUAGCUGUAGCCUGCGCAUGAAUAUGGAGUGAAAAGCAUAAUUUAGAUUACUGUGCCCAGUGUCUUUUACUGCAUUUGACCAUUCAAUAGUUGUUCAGCCACAAAGGAGCCACAAAAACUUGCCAACUCCCUGUAACAAUUUGCAGAUCGAUAGCACACUGUUACACAUCAAAGCGACAGCUGACUGGUCAAGUGCUUUACUACUGAUUUGUAUUUUCUAACACAAGAGCAUUUAUGCUCUUAGUUAUCAUAACAAGGUAGGUAGAUGACAUUCAACCAUCCUGACUGAUAUAAUUUUGAGGAAAAUCAAACCCUCUGCAAACCCAGAUGUGUCAGGUAUACACAGAUCUUCUGUGUAGACCUUGAAGGCAGCUGAGUGAUUUGUGUUUCAAGAGAAGCACCAAUGUAGCUUGUCCAGGCUCUAGCUGCGACUUACCUCUGAUGCUUCAGGUGGGAGCUAAACAAAUCAGAGUUCAAGUUUCUCUGAAGAAGGGAAAUAAAAAGUCUGCAUUUCUUGACCUAAAAGUCCAAGAAAAGCUUGAGGCAUGAAAUUAUACAGUUGAUGAAUAAAUGAACACAACAGACAAGCCUAACCUCCUUCUUCUGGAGACCAAUGACAAAAGUACUCAUCACAAGCUUAAACUCCUGAUACCAGGGCUUCAUCCUUAGCCAGGUCCCAGGUGCAUAGAGCUGCAAAUCUCUAUUUUACAUCUGAUCAGCAUCUCUGUCUCCCCUGGUCAGCCGAGACUUCAGCUCACCCCUGUUCAUUGAUUUGAAAAUAUACUCCGUAGUCUAUGAGUUUGCUUUGCAUUUUGUUUAUUAUAAUCUUAAGCAGAAGGAAUUUUGCUAGUUGUAUAAAAGUCACAGAACAUCUAUCUGGUGUAUGGGUGCAAGAGAGAUAGGAGGUUCUUUCUUAAGGUUUUUGAAAAUGUUCCUUGUUCCUGAGAGGGAGCACAUACCUGGAUGGUUAAAUUACAUGGCAAAAGGCUGUCAUCUGUUUUAGUGAUCAUCUUCCAAAAAUGUAGGCAUGUUUGCAUUGGGAGAUCUCAGGCACAGCUUAGCUGGUAGAAGAUAGCCCGUAUCCUCAAGCAUGCAUGUUAAACUCUGUGCAGCUGUUGAGAUUUCCCACACACAAUGAGCAAAGUUGGAUGCGGUGCUCCGAAACAUCUUUCCCUCCUUUGGAAUCAGAACACGUGAGGCACUUCUGACCUGAGGGACCCACAUCCCUAAUCAGGCUGAGAAACAGUUGCAUCCAUUGGCCAUAAGCAUCAUUUUGAUUCAUACGUUUUGCUUUGAUUCCAAGGGAGAAAUGCACAUGUACAAAAGAUAGAAAUAUUUCCUCCUUUUGGAUGUUCCUAAUACAGUUUAUAGAUUUUUUUUUUUAAUUGACUUUGAAUAAACUCUAGCCCAAUUUACAUGGUUGGAUUCUGAUAAAAUGGUAUGUCUUUAGAAACAUUGCAACAGUCUACCGUGGAACGUUUUUAUAUGUUUUUUCAUAAUACUGUGCAUAAGACAAAACUAAAUUUGCUCUGGUUCCUCGGUGGCUUUUUUUUAUUAAAGGAUGUAAGAUUCCAGUGUUUACAUAAUAACUUACAGCUGCUGAGAAGCUAUUUUAGUCAGUGCAUACACUGAGCUUACAGUUACUGUCUCCAAAUACCUGUGGUCUAGCCACUUACUUCAGUCUGCUGAUCACUUAGCUGGAAUAAUCCACCCAUCGCUACGCUUUCGGCUCCCUCCGGCCUGACAAGAACCAAAUGCGGAGCCAUUCGGGGAAACCCAACCCAGCUGCUGUCUCCUCACAGCCCGUGGCUGGAGGUGCCCACCACCCGCGGUCUGGCUGCGGGGACAGGGCUAUCACACCGUGUUGGGGCCAGCUGGGAGCUGGGGUGAAGGACACAUCACCCCCAAACCCACUUUUGCUGAGAGAGGGGCACAGAUCUCGGCUUGAGCCCUGCCCUGAGGCCUGCAGCUCACGCACCCGGCUGGUGCGAGGCAGGCAGCAGGCAGGAGGGAGGUGGCAGAUUGUUUUAAAUACAAUUUAUUAAUUUCUGUGUGGGUUACAUGCAGUCAUUAUUCUGUCUCUUUUUUUUUUCUUUUUCUCCCACUGACUUAAGGGAAAGUGCAUGUCCUGACACGAGUGCAACCCGGUGCUGCUUGUUUGGUUAUUUAAUGGUGAUUUUUUCUGACAGAAAAACCUUUUCAUUCAAUUUGAUCAUUGCUACUAAAAUUGCUUCAUGUCUUCAAUAUCCAAGUCAGUCUGCUUGCCAAGAAAGCAUGUCUUUCUCGAUGCUGUCUAACGAGAACCACAGAUUAAUUUAUAUGCUUAUUUCUCCCAAUUAUUAUUUCUGAUUUUGUUGUGAGAAAAUUCACCACUCAGUCUAGGAUUUCACUAAGGCUUUUUUUUUUUUUUUUUUUUUUAAUCCAGUUCUUUUAAUGAGCAUUGGAAACAGCCUAGGAAACAAUGAUAGAAGGUAAAUCCCUUUUAAACAACAAAAAAAGUGUAUGUAGCUGAGUUAUCUGCUGCCUCUGCUGGGGUGAGUGGGGCUGUAAUGCUUUUGUGUACGAAUUGCUUUGGGAUAAUAAUGUUUUCUACUUGCUUAUACAUUUUUCAUCAGACAAAUCAGGCGAAAAGGUUGUAUCACACAGAUCUGUGACUGGAGCUGCUUUCCUGUCCUGCAGCUGCAAGUGGAAGAUGAAACACAUUUUCAUACUUGGAGAAAAAGGGUCAGAGUUAGAGGGAGAAAAUGGUAUGAAAGUGCAAAGCCUUGCAUGUAAGUAGGUAGCCCCUAAAGCAGGUGCUAACAAGACCUUCUUGACAACCACUGAGUUUUGUGUAGCAGAGGAGAAGAUACAGCUGAAAGAAAAGAAAGAGGCAAGGAAUGGCAUUGUGCUGUAUCUGACUGGGAUUACAGUAGCUGAAUGACUCAUUGUUAUAAAAUAUGGGUAACAGAGCGUCCUUUCAUGUCUCUCGAUGCAGAUUGAAUGCAGUCCUGACCAAGAUGACAAAAUUCAUUUUGAUUGAAUGCUUGUCCAUAUUUUUAAAUGAAAUGCAUGUGGGGCUAUUAGCUCAGUUCCCUGUCGAAGGCGGCUGUGCUGCACGGCCCUGCCAUAAGUUUGGCAGCCUUUGAAGCACCGGGCAUCCUCCAGAACAGACAGGAACAUUUGAAUGGGGAUAAACGUUAAACCAUUUUGUAGUUUCCCAACUCUGGGGUAGGUAUUUUUUAUAUUAAAAAAUACAUAACAAUAUAAGAGGUAAAGCAAAAAUGAAUAUACAUAAAGUGCUUUAUAAAAACAGAAAGCGAGAGGAGGACAUGGCUGGCAGGGAUCCUGAGCUCCUCCCAUGUUGGAGGAAGACAGGAUGGGCAGGGAUGCAGACUUCCUUGUCUGAAGUAGACACUGAGCUUCAGGAUCCAAAGAAUACAAAUAAUAAAUUCUACUUUUAUUACCAUUUUAUCACAUUCUUGUUAAAGCUAAUUUACAGUUUUUCAUCCUGGAACAACCACUCCCACAAGUCCCAUCCUACUAAUUUUUUUCUCUUUAAUAUCAUUAAGAAACAACUAUGCUUAGCUGCAUGCUGAAAAGGUCACUCAUGUCCUUUGGCUGACAAAUGAGCAGGUCACCUACACAACUUCACUGAAUAAGGUUCAAAUCUUUAGAGACUCAUGGGUCUGAAUUUCAACCAAAUAUAAAUACUGCAUGACCCCUGAGCCAUUUUUUAAGGUUUUGCCAAGGAUUUACGGUAUGUUUUGUGGUUAAAGAAAGAGCUAUUGACAUGGUUACACAAAGCACUGCUAGAGUAGUCUCCAUUACCUCCAUCACUGAUAGGUGAGUUCAGAACAGAGCAGGUGAAAGCUUGGACUAGGACAAUAACCACAGAAUGGAAAACACAUCACAUAGAAGCAGUUAAAAGGACUUUGAUAGCCUUAUGUAGCACAAGAAAGUCUCAGAGAAGACACUGUUUAUUUCUUUAAGCAUGUCUCUGGGAGGAAAAGGUCUUUUCUUCUGAAGGGCAAGUGAGUACAAGGACAAGUGGAUAUAAAAUGGAUGCACAUGCAUUCAUGUUGGAGAAUACAAAAAGAACUAACAAUGAAACGAGCGAGAGUCUCAGCUGGACUUCUGGGAACUUACUGGGCUCUAUAACCACAGUUUGAAGCCAUUUUUUAAACUGCAUUUGUAAAGUGUAAUGAUAUGGUUGUCUACAAUUGCAAGUAAAUGACCUUAAUGUGUGAUUUAUUUUGUUUUUUAAAGCUUUUCCUAAUUAUUUAACCAAUGUUCUUAGUACCAGAAAUAGCUUCCAAAAUAGAUCAGGAGUUGAGGAGCAGGAGGAUUUCACAAUGCACUUUCUGGCUGGAAAUACUGCAGCAUUACUUCUUUUCUUUUGGAUGAAGUAAAGGUGGAACUGAGUGUAGUGCUCCUGUUGUUUCACUCUUUCUGAGGAUCACUUCCAGAUCCCACUGGUAUCAUUCUUCUGCCUACAGCUGCUUCCACAGAUUUCUCAGUGGGUGGACUCCCUCUAAAAAUUGCUUGUGCUUCUGCCAGGAUGUCUCUCAUUUUCCAACACCCCACCUUUUAAAGAAAUUCUAAGUAGUGUAUAAGAACAAUACAGAAAAGACGCUGUACUUGGAACACACUUGGAACACUGUUGAUGUUUUGUUAGUUCCUGCAGACAACCAGCUUUGCAAGAGGUAGCUCUUAUUAUUAUUAUUAAAGAGCUUUAUUAAGAACAUAAUGUUUUAUUUGUUUUUUAUAGUGUUCAUUCCUGAUCAUCCAUGCCCUAUAAAGCACUGAAGUGAAAACAAACAAAAAGAGCAGCCAAUUUUUCUACAAUGUAUUUUUUUUUAAUUCCAAGUAGGCAAAGUAUAAUAAAUCCAGGGGAAAAUUUACUAAAAUGAAGGACUUCAGACAUCUCAACUGCACUGAUCCAGCUGUGCACUCAUAGGUGUUACCAUGGGAAGAAAAGCACUACCCACCUUGCUUACCAUUUUCACUGCAGGUCUGAAAAGCAAAGGCAGAAAAUGGAGAGGUAAAUGUAUAGUCAUCUACUAGCACCAUGCACCAUGAGCACUCCAUUAAAACAAAACAAAAGAAGAAAAAGAAAGGACAUGGCUACGCCAUCCUUAUGUACACGUACAUAGCAAUAUAUUUUAUUCACAAGAAGUGAAAUGGGAACUUCAACCUCUACACAAUUAUGCUACUCACUGCCAAAAGAAAGAGAAAGGCUGUUGCACUAACAGAGACCAAGCAAGGCCAUUUUCUGCAUUACUCAACAAUAAUUUCCACAA